CAAACAGCAACAAUAGUUUGUGAUGAACAAAUGUAUAUUCAUUGAUGAUAUCAGAAAAAGAUUGAGUUUGUGAACUAUUCUAUCCUGGUGUUUGAUAACUGUCAGCUAUUUAACGAGGAUGACUCAGAAGUAGGUCAGUGUGGACACAAAAUGCACGCGUUCUUCAUGAGGCGCUGGAAGGAGGUGCUCUUUGAGGACAUGACAGAAAGCGUGUGAUGGCUCUACUAUGCUAACUCAAGAAAUCAUGAGUGAUAUAAAUGAAGAAAAAUACAGCAAAUGAUGUUUGGUGCGCUGUAACUUUGGCUUGGUGUUAAACUCUUGCCACAAAGCGAAAUUGACAUUGAUGGGAAGAUCCUUUGGAAAGUAUGUGCAUCAUCGCCUGCCUGAUGUAUGGACUUUUAUACAUGGUUUUUACCCUGCACGAGCUGGCAAACUUGAGGGGAAAAAGUAUGGGAAAACCUCGCCCUGUCCUUGACCAAGAAAGCUCGAUUUGUUGAGAGAUCAACUGGCGUAAGAGAUGCUCAAGAGGAGAAGGACACAAGCAGCAUCAAUGGUACAUGUCGCUCCAGCGCCUGCUUUCCAGAUCUCUCUACCAGCUGCUUUCCAGGUCCCUCCACCCGCCAAGAUCAGGUCUAGGUCCCUGCACUGGCUGCUGUCCAGGUCCACUAGCGGUCAAGGUCUCUCCAGUGGCUGCUGUGCAUGUCCCAACACCGUAUGCCGUCAAGGUCCCUCCAUACACUGAAAUCCAGGUUCCUCAUUCCACUGCGGUUCAGGUACCUCCAACAGCUGAGAUCCAGGUCCUGCAGCAGCUGCGGUCUAAAUACUCCACCCGCAGUGGUCCACUACGGUCAACCUUUUGCUUUAAAAUCUUCCAUAAAUAUCUAUUAUUGUAUAAUGUAUUGUAAAAAUAAUCUGUUUGUAUUAA